rnacentral:rRNA from 1 species
UACCGCUGGUGUACCAGUUAUUCCGCCAGGAGUAGACGCUGGGUAGCCAAGUACGGAGUGGAUAACCGCUGAAAGCAUCUAAGUGGGAAGCCCACCUCAAGAUGAGUACUCUCACUACUACAAGUAGGUAAGGUCACAGGUAGAUUACCUGUUGAUAGGCGGUAGGUACAAGUGCAGUAAUGCAUGCAGCCGAGCCGUGCUAACAGACCGAGGGCUUGACCUCU